GGGGACAUAGCUCAGCUGCGAGAACAAGAGACUGAAGUAUCUUGCUAGUGGGAGUUUUCUGGAGUCUCCCUAGUUCGAUCCUGGGUGCCCCCA